GGAGGCGUCGUAUAGCGGUCUAGUACACCAUCUUGGAAAGGUGGCAUGGGGCAACCCAUCGAGAGUUCGAAUCUCUCCGCCUCCG
rnacentral:tRNA from 1 species